UACGUAGGGGGCAAGCGUUGUCCGGAAUCAUUGGGCGUAAAGAGCGUGUAGGCGGCCCGGUAAGUCCGCUGUGAAAGUCCAGGGCUCAACCCUGGGAUGCCGGUGGAUACUGUCGGGCUCGAGUCCGGAAGAGGAGUGUGGAAUUCCUGGUGUAGCGGUGAAAUGCGCAGAUAUCAGGAAGAACACCGACGGCGAAGGCAGCUCGCUGGGACGGUACUGACGCUGAGGCGCGAAAGCGUGGGGAGCGAACAGG
rnacentral:rRNA from 1 species